AGGGACCUGACAGGUAGACAAAUAAGCCUUCACCUGUUUGUAUGCCUCCAGUCUCCAAUCAAAUAAUAACAUCUCUACCAACAAGCCUUCUUCAAAUCUUGUAAUGCAAACUGUUGACUAUAAUGAUAUAAAAUAGCAAAUUUUUAUGUUUUACUUUGUUGUUUGUGUGUUUGCAUGAGUGGGGGAGUGCGCAUGUGUUGGAGUUAGAAACGAGGUGAACUGAGUUACUUAAAAUUAACUAUUGUCUUAUUUGUAAUCUGUGAUUUUCACUUUCAGAGUAUUUUACGAGUAGAAGAACAAGGCCAUCAUCUUCAUUAAACUGGACACGUGAUCAGAAGCGACAAUUGGAUCCAUCACCAGAAAUGCUUUACACUCAAUUCUUUAAGAGGAAACAGCAUGGAACACCUGGACGGUGGAGGCAGACCUACACACCCCAAACUACACCCCAGAGCACUCAAGAAACAGGCUCAAAACAAAUAGGAGAAGAUCAAAUAAUCACUGUCAUCAUCCUGCCGACCAUCAUUACCUGGAAGCUGUUCCACUGUGACCUCAUCGUAAUAUCUGUCAUCGUCCACAUGGUCGGGCAAGGCGCACCGGUACAUUGUGCCGCGGUCCUCAGUAGCCAACGACACCAGCAACGCCCGCCGUGACAUCACCCUGCAGCCGUCAUUGGUGAAGUACUCGACUUCCGCCUGGCCCUCGGCGAUCUGGAAGUGACGCAUGUCUGGUGCUUUCACGUACCACUGGAACUCCUGCGGCGGGAGGCCGGCAUCCGCGUGACAGCUCAGCCGCCAGGUGGCUCUCCUGUGUCCGGGAGUUUCGUGAUCAUACGUCACUCGGGGAGUCCCUGGAGGCUCUGAAGAAUAUGAAAGAGUUACGUGUUCACGUGCAACAUACGUCGCAACUGAAGGUCUGUGUACUCCGAGGAGUCCUCAGUAGCACCGAAGACUCCACGACACCGGUAUGUCCCCAUGUCGGCACAGGUGAGGGCGCAACCACGAGGUUGAACUCCACCAG